rnacentral:sRNA from 1 species
AAGUAAAUAAAGAAAGAAAAUCGUUGCCGAGUCCGAGAAGAAAGAAUCGAGAAAAAUGGUGUCGGAUUCGGACAUCGUGGCCCGACUCCGUGAAAUACUGCAGAGCUCGGACUU